rnacentral:rRNA from 1 species
GCUAACCCAUGCAAGUCGAGGGGCAUCACGAUGUAGCAAUACGUUGGUGGCGACCGGCGCACGGGUGAGUAACGCGUAUGCAACCUGCCUUUUACAGGAGGAUAGCUUCCGGAAACGGAAAUUAAUACUCCAUACGACAUUACCGGGGCAUCCUGGUAAUUUGAAAACUACGGUGGUAAAAGAUGGGCAUGCGUAACAUUAGUUAGUUGGUGAGGUAACGGCUCACCAAGGCUACGAUGUUUAGGGGUCCUGAGAGGGUCCACCCCCACACUGGUACUGAGACACGGACCAGACUCCUACGGGAGGCAGCAGUGAGGAAUAUUGGUCAAUGGGCGGAAGCCUGAACCAGCCAUCCCGCGCGCAGGAAGACAGCCCUAUGGGUUGUAAACUGCUUUUCUGAGGGAAGAAUAAUUCCGAGUUUCUCGGGAGAUGCCGGUACCUCAGGAAUAAGCAUCGGCUAACUCCGUGCCAGCAGCCGCGGUAAUACGGAGGAUGCAAGCGUUAUCCGGAUUCAUUG